AAUUUGUGUGAUUAUCACAUGGGAAACCUGUGAAAAUGCCAUUUUUGUGCUUCGAUGUGCUAAUUUUCGGUUGUUUUAGGUGUCUAGCGGGCGAACGGAAUGUCCUAGGACAACGAUUUUUGUAUCAGAUUGUGUCUAGCGGGCGAACGGAAUGUCCUAGGACAACGAUUUUUGUAUCAGAUUGUGUCUAGCGGGCGAACGGAAUGUCCUAGGACAACGAUUUUUGUAUCAGAUUGUGUCUAGCGGGCGAACGGAAUGUCCUAGGACAACGAUUUUUUCAUCAGAUUGUGUCUAGCGGGCGAACGGAAUGUCCUAGGACAACGAUUUUUGUAUCAGAUUGUGUCUAGCGGGCGAACGGAAUGUCCUAGGACAACGAUUUUUGUAUCAGAUUGUAAGUAUUGAAUUUGUUUAUCAUUUUCAUAAAUAAUUUGUGUGAUUAGCACACAGGAAACCUGUGAAAAUGCCAUUUUGGUGUUUCGAUUUGCUAAUUUUCGGUUGUUUUAGAUGUCUAGCGACCAAACGCGGUGUUCUCAGAACAUUAAUCUCUCAUGAUUUUUUAAAUAUUUAAAUUGUUUUCUAUUGUUUAAUACAAGGGGAAGCCACUAGUGUUAU